rnacentral:rRNA from 1 species
CAGCCGCCGCGGUAAUACGUAGGUGGCAAGCGUUGUCCGGAAUUAUUGGGCGUAAAGGGCUCGCAGGCGGUUUCUUAAGUCUGAUGUGAAAGCCCCCGGCUCAACCGGGGAGGGUCAUUGGAAACUGGGAAACUUGAGUGCAGAAGAGGAGGGUGGAAUUCCACGUGUAGCGGUGAAAUGCGUAGAGAUGUGGAGGAACACCAGUGGCGAAGGCGACUCUCUGGUCUGUAACUGACGCUGAGGAGCGAAAGCGUGGGGAGCGAACAGGAUUAGAUACCCCGGUAGUCCCUGUCUCUUAUAC